rnacentral:lncRNA from 1 species
CCUUGUAGCUUGGACAGCAAUGGGUGCGAGCCCCUCUGUAGUUUCAACUAUGAUCCAGGGGUAUCAUGUUCAGUUUGCUCAUCGUCCGGUAACCUCAAGGACCCCCACUUCAAGAGUGUGUUUCAGACUGAGAUUAUUACCCUGCUGGAGAAAUAUGCCAUCAGACAAGUGCCACCAGACAACAUGCAAGCUGGUUUCUAUUCCUGAUAUUUUCUCAUCCCCAAGAAAGAUCAGAACCUUCAUCCUGUUUUAGAUCCUGAGGGGACUCAACAGACAUCUCAGAUGUCUGCUGUGCAAGAUGUCGACUGUCCCAAGGCUGAAACAGUCCAUCUACAAAGGAGAUUGGUUUGUAACCACAGAUCUGAAGGAUGCCUACUUCCAGAUUCCUAUUUGGAAGAGGCACUGGCAGUUCCUGAGAUUUUUCUUUGAUGGCAGCAUGUACGAAUUUCCUGUCCUACAGAUUUUUCACCCUGAGAACUGUUCAUAUGCCAGGGCCGGACAAUCAGGUGGCAGAACAGCUGUCCGGGGGAGGUCUAAACCCUGGAGGGUGGAGGCCUCACCCUUAGGUGGUUGUAGAACUCUGGUGUUGCUUCAGGCACGAACAAGUUGACCUGUUUGUGUAAGGGGACUCCACCCAUUUUCCCCCGUUCUCCAUAAUAAACAACAAUCCCACCAGGAGUGGAUACCAUGGCCCAUCUGUGGCCAUGGGUAGUGCUGAAUGACAACACAACACUGCCUGACCCCAUCAGAAUCAGCAUCUUAAUCUCUCUUCAUUGUCCCAAAAGGGAAACUAAUGUUACAGCAUAAGCACACAAAAUACAGGGUACACAAUGACAAUACAAUGAAAAUAAGACCCAAUUAACAGUCUUAAAGUCAAACAUAAUAAAAAACAACACAAAUGGGUCAGCCCCCGUACAUAUGGAUUAUGUAACGGAGUGGAGAGAUAGUCUCUUCAUUCACAGAACCAUACAAAGUUUGCACUGGGCAAAGAAGUUUCUGCUGUUCAUUGAUCCAUCUAUGGAAGUGACCCCCAUGGUCUCCUCAUAACCACCUGGAGACUAGCUAAACACACUAAAAAGCAACAAUCUCAGCUGUGCUGUGGUGAUGAGCCCCUUUACACCGCAGUUUUGCAGUUCUUGUACAGCAACCUGCUGUUCAUAGCCUUCCCGAGACCCCGAUCCCGAGGAGGAGGAGGAGGAUUAUUCGACAUGCAAACAAUGCAGCAGACGUUAAAUCAGAGGCCAUGAGGGAGUCUUUGCCUCUCUAUGGCAUUGCAUCAUACCUAUAACUCAGUGCUUACACUCCCACACAGCCAUAUACUGUCUCUCUUAGAGGACAUGAGAUAGAAUAUGAACUUCAUGGAUACAUAGGAGGGGGUUUAGCUCUUUUCCCUCAAGGUUUGGAAAGACCAUGGCCCCAGGUGUGAGGGUUUAUGGGGCAGUUAUGUGACACAAAAACCUCCCUUUAUGUCAGAGACACUGUCACAUGUAGCGGCCUCUAAAGCGGUGAGGUUUAAACUGCAAUGGGUCACUGGAGACAUUUGCUGUCCUCCUGGAUUUGAGCUGCAGUAAAGAAAAGCAAUCAGCUGUUUUAUAUAUGGAGAAACCUGGCAGAUGGCUGAGGUGACUUGUCACGAUUGCAGACCGUGAACAUUUCUCCCCACAAUGAAUAUUUUGUGUAACCGGGUUGUAAAAGGCAAAAGCAUAACUUGAACAUCAUUUAUGAACCUUAAUAUGACUUGUAACAUGUAAAAAGUAUAUAUAUAUAUAAUAAAAGUUUCAGCUGCAGAGUUGAUUUGUUUCAGCUCAGCAAUCUUUGUAGCAUUACAGGAAAUUCCUAACAAUCAAAUUCAUGUGAGCUUGAGCUUUAAACUUGAAGAAUAGAUGCAGAACAUCCUGAGAAACAUCUGACCUGAUGAUCAGAGGUCAGGCAAAAAUGCAGUCUGGUUUCGAUGUCCCUACUCAGGGAAAAAAAAAAAAAGGUUGUAUACAUAUAUGUACAAAACUGAAGAAAAUUUCUCAGUGUGAAUGAAAACAGCUGAAAUUUUCAACCCAGGCUUUUCUGCCAACCGACUCACAGGAGCUUUAAAGGAUUUUACUGCCUGCCUUUAGUGCUGUUUUAAAGUUAUAAAAUAUACCUGAAUGGGCAAAUAACAUCUUUUAGGUAUUUUAAUUUCUAUUCAUAGUGAAAGUUGACUGGAUCAAUGGAGGCAGAAAAGGUAAAUAAAGGCUCCAAUGCAAGUGUGUGCACCAAUAUAUCAUCCCACCUCUUAAAGAGUCAGUGCCCCAACAAAAACUUCUGCCACUGUUGAAUAUUUUUGACUACAGUCGUUUUUUUUAAAGCACAUGCAGUGAAAAAAAUGCCACGCAGUGAUUACAUAACUGAAGGAAUAAAGAUGAAAUUCUGUUGUUUACAAACUGGUUAGAGAUGGUUCGCUUUUGCGGAGAUAUUCUCAGAAAUGUCCGGCGCCAGGUGGACUGUUAUUCCACCACAAUAAAUAAACACGCAUUUACACAAAAGCAGACGUAAUGGAGAGGUAAUCCGUCUGUCGGAAUAACAUUUGCAGUAAUUACAGAACCCAUUGUGGAGCUUAAUUACUGUGGGGAGACAUUUACCUUUGUGUGUCCUUUAAAUGAGACUGUCUCUUCUGUCAGAUACCUAAACUCCUGACCUCAGAUUAGAUCAGCUCACUUCAGGAGAUGAUAUUUAUCCCAUCAGUGUGUUUUAUUAGCGUAAAAUUUACAUCAUUAUACCUCAGAAUUUUGUCAUUAUAAUAAUAAUUUUUAAAAAAAGUGACACAAGAGAUACAAAGGUGCCCCAGUAUGUUACAUCUGUUACAUGACCAGUUUGAUGCUUGUUUUUAAAGCACAGAUGUAAUAGUUACAAAAGUAAGUAUGUGGUGUUUUUUUGCGGUUUUAUGUAUUUGUUUUUGUGAGAAGAUUAGAGUUUUUUCCAGUUCAUCUUCUCAAAAGUGGGGGUAAAAGAGGGUUUGGUCCAUCAACAUCACCGCAGCCCUCCAAUGCCGGUCCCGCAUCACCGCCUGUUACACCGAGGUCACCUUUUUUAGUUCGUAUAUUAACACAGCUCUGCUUUUAUAAUGCUCCAGUUUGGGAUCUGUGUUUUAUUAAUUCAACAGUUCAUUUUUAUUUAGAGCAACAGUCUAAAAAAAACCUGCUUGUGUUUUGUUUUUGUGCACAGCCAAGACCUGCACCUGUUGGCUUUCUUCAAAAUAUGAAACAGUGAACUGCAAAGCUUCAAAGUGAAAUGUAGCUCGCGGGAGACUUUGAAACUGAAGUGAGCGAAUACCUGGCCGACACACGGAGCCAUAAGUUACUGAAACCCAACAGCCAGAGUCAAACUGAGCUUAAGAAGUCAAACUUGUCUUUAAAGCAUUGAGAUAAAAAGCUCUGCCGCGCAAAACUUUCCACCCUUCUGUCCUCUCAUUGUUACUGCACAGCCUCUCCCCUGGGCUCAUCGUCUGCGGAGAGUGAGCAUGCAUGUGUGCAUUGUGUUUUAUAAUGCAGAAAAUCAUCAUGUUUGCACAGAUGAGCCUAUGUUUGCACAGUGAGAUAAACCUCAGUGAUAUCAUGCUUGGACCCUCGUUCGUGGGACUUGUGUGAGUGAGGUCAGAGCUUGAGAGAGGGGUUUGUGUGUCAAGAGUGUGAAGAUGAGCUCCAGAUGGCUGGAUGCUGGGGAUUUAUGGAUGAACAGUGGCUUUGUAAUGUAAGAUUGUGUGGGAUGGGGGAGAUCUGUGACCUCAGUGCUGCUGCUUCCACGUGAUGACGAGUCGGUCCCGGGUCUCUUUGUAGCGUUGUGUCCCUCAGCUAAAGAGAAAGACACACUUCUGGAUGUGAUUAUGGUCUCAUAGAGGAGAAAGUCCUCUCUGUCACUUCAAGUUUUUGGUGUUAAGUUUACUGUAUUCACUUUGUCACCACAGGCCUGUUUAGAUUAGUCCACCUGCACUCAUUUUAGUUUAACUUCAUCUGUUUUCCCUGCAGGAGGUGCUGUUUUUCCAGCUUUAACACACCACAUCUGCUCUUUCCAAUGUGUUGACAAACCCCUGGUGCUUUUCAUCAAAGGAGCUGACCAGAGGCUAAUUAUUUUCUCCAAGUCCGUGGUCCACACUUUCUGGGAUGCUGCAGAUGGGUGGAGUGUGUUCGGUCCAACCAGCCUGCCACUUCUGAGGGAGAGCGACGGCGUGAAGAGGGGGUAGAAAGAAGCCUUGAUGAGAUUAAGCAUUUCAAGAUGUUUGCAUGUUGGUUAAAAGCCAAGGGAGGGAGAGAGGGCCACUCGGGGCGGCGCAUUGUCACAUCCUGUUGUUGGUAACGAUGUGCACUCCCCCCCACUCUGAGGAACUCACGCAAAGAUUACAGAUACACAAAGGCAACACUGUCCUUGUGGUGUCUGGCAGAGGUAAAUAAGCUCCAUCACCGCCUCCAGAUACGAGUGUUUAAAAAGUAUAGGAAGAGAUGCGCUUGACAAGUCCUCCUAGAGCCAAAAAAGUAAUUGAGAGUGGAAAACGAAGAAGUGUUGCACAAAUAGAGUGGAAAAUUAGAGCCAACAAUCUUCAACAUCUUGAAGACAUUAUUACGUGCUCUACAGGCAUGAAAAGGUAGCAUGUCAGAUUAUGAGAUUGCAGCUCUUUUACUGUCAUUUAUGAACAAAGCAACAGUGCAGUUAGGUUAGUUGAUUUCAGGCACGCAGAGAGGCUUACGUAUUGACACAGCCUGCAGGCGAAGCUGGGUGUCCAGAUUUCAGAUCUGCCAAGAAUCCUGACAAGUCAUGUAUAUCCUUUCACUAUCCCACAUGUCCCUUAUCUGUUUCAGCAUAAAAAAGGGUAAACAAACAAGAAUGAUUUAUUUGUGCUUGAGUCAUAUUGCAUUUUUGCAGGCUGAGAUGAAAAUAAGCCCUGCCACACACACUUUUGACGUAGUAUAACAGCCCAGAAAACAGCCGCAGCUAACAGAGCUGGAAGUCGAGGUGAUGAGAGGAGAAUUAGAAACAGGCAAUGAUGCCACUUGAGUGUUGUACGCUAUGGCCAAAAGUAAGUGGACACUAAAGUUGGACAUAUUCUUCCAAUCUUUGCAGCAUCCACGCCUCUGUGCUCUGUGGGGUAAAAUCUCAGAUGAAGAGCUUAUAAUUGAACCUUAUAGACAACUGUUAUAUAUUGUCACCUUUUUGCUAUCUUUCUGGGACAAAAUGUUCUUCUCAUUCUGUUGCAAACCAGGAGAGAAUUGUUUUCCUUCAGCUUUUGUUGAGCCAACUUAGACAGCCUGAGAGCACACAGGUCCUUCUGUUUCCUCUGCAUUGCUCAUGUGCAGACUUUCACAACUGAAGCACUGACAUAUCUGAGUGGCCAGGGUACCUGUGCAUACUAUAUACCUGUGUAUAAUUUGAGUUUCAUAAUGUGCUCCCCAAUACUCAUUUGAAGCUGCAUAUCUAACCUAUUGUCGUUAGGUCAUACAAUAGUUUAAUCAAAUAAACGGAUGGAAUUUUAAAUAGAGAGAUACAUUUUCUACCUUUCCUUUUUGCAACAUGCUGAGAUGAUUAUGGUUGAUUAACCAAAGCAGGAGUUUUGGCAGAUUAAUUGACAACAACACAGGAAAUCAGUCCACGCUCUGAUCACUGGAGGAGGAAUUUUAGGGUUGCCACUCUAAUCGCCAGUGAAUUCUGUGCAAACUGCAGCUUUAUAACCCCUUUGGUAUGGAGAAAACUCCAAAAGGUACAUAGUUUGUGUCACCUAACUUAAUUGUGUCUUCAGACUUUUCAUCUAUAAAGGUCCUACAAGAGAAACUAAACUUACUUACAUAUUUGGUUGUGCUCCCUGAAAUAAGCUCCAAGCAUUCAGGUGAGAAGUCUGCAGAGCUUACUUUUAAAACAGCACACAAUAUAUCAGGAUGAAGGUGUUGAAAAAUGAUGCAGCGUGUUAACAGCAACAGGUCGUUAAUACACGGUGAGUCAUUCUGAGAGCAUCUGUGUGUGUUUAGUGAGAGAAAAAUCCCAAUCACAGCACAGGAGAGAAAGAGUCUGCAAUAAAAGUUAAUUCCAAGAGUAAAUUCAGAGUUAAUUUUAGCUUUUCCACAAGGGUUACUCUGUGAAAUACGGUGGGUAAACUCUACACAGCAGGAUUUAUCUCAGCUGUUCACACUUGGUUUCCAGGAUUAGGGGGAAACAAACUGGGAAUGUAAAAGUCAUAAAAGAUUAUUUUUCUCCUUUCUUUGAGAAUUAAUUGGGGAGGGAUUUUUGGAAGGCUUGGAGAUGACCAAAUAAGCAUACAUACACGGGUACAUUUAAAGGGGGAGGUAUCAUGCUUUUCCACAUCUACAACAGAAACUGCAAAGUUACAAAGUUUGGUGUCCAUACUAGAUGUAUGCAAAGUUUUAAAUCACAAGGUUAAGGUAUUUUGUCAUAAUCUGAGAAAGUAGAUGUAAACUGAUCAAAUCUCCGACAAACGCACAGAAAUGCAAAACCGUAGUUUAUGUGCGAGAUUCUGACAUAAUUAUUGGUUCAUGUGCUUGCGGCAAAGCAGAACGAGCUGCCUUCAACAGCAUAGACACAAUAUACAUAUAAAAUAUACAUACUGUAUAUUAUAUAUGUAUAUUGUGUAUGGUUACUGUAUAUAUUUACAUAUAUGAUGUCUAUGGGGGUAAUGCUGCUCCGCUGUUCAACUGAUUGACCACUAUAGAGGGAGCUGGGCCAAAAUAACGAGCUCUGCCUUCAGCCAGCUUCUGGUUAGCCUCUGGAGAGUUGACCAAUCAGAAUAAAGUAGCUAGGCUUGUGGAUGGGGGGGCUUAACGAGACAACAGCUAAACUGAAGCGUUUCAGACAGACGCUGAAAUAAUGAUAUUUUCAUACACCACUGUAAGAAAUUUGAGGCUAUUAAAAAUGUAUCAGAAAGGAAAAAGUCUGAAAAAACGUUCAUGACCCCCCCCACUACCUAUUCUCUCUCUCUCUCUCUCUCUCUCUUUCUCUCUCUUUCUCUCUCUCUCUCUCUCUUUCUCUCUCUUUCUCUCUCUUUCUCUCCUUUUCUCUCCCUGACUCUUGACCAACGGUCUACACUUAAGAGUUUUGGGCCACUGGGAACAGAGGUGUACAAAAACGCCCACCUUUUCUAAAUCUGUACUUUGUACGUUUUGUACAUUCACAAACAAACCUUUUGGCAACUGCCAAGGUCCAUAACAUGGCAAUUUACUUUUGGCACAGGGGCAAAAUAAUAGAUGUCAUUUAAUUACUCACCAACCCAGACAUGGUGAACAUAGAUUAUAAUAGCAGCUUGUUAAAAGACUCUCAUGAUACACUGUAUACUCAUUAUCCCUAUCUUUUGUUUUGCUUUGUUUUAAUCAAUAUACAUGAAAACAUGGUCUGAGAUUACUCUUUUAGAUUCAUCAGCCCAGUUUGUAGGUAGAUGAAAAAAAUUACCCACAGAGAAUAUUUUUUAACCUGCCAAAGUAAGAAAUGUAAUUUUUCAUUUGUAACACACAGUUAUGAUGGUACAUUUUAGCUAGACAGUGAAACAAAUACUCUAAACCAAGACAUCUGGUGCAUAGCCCUCUAAAGUUUACAGAUGACAGGUGAUAAUUUGAGACCCUGCAUGUGGACAUAACAUGAAAACUGACUAAAUCUUGACCAAAUCAACAUAUCACUGUGAAAUAUGACUCAAAUUACAAACAAUUCUUUGGAAAUUACUAAGACUUGAUACAAAUAUCAUGUCAAAAUCAACACAGUGUUGAGAUAUUACUUUUUCUUUUUCGCUCAAGAGGAGGAACUUUCCGGUGGUUUGUGGUGAGAAUUAAAGCCACGAGACUCCCACAGAUGAGGAGGGUCGAUUAGGGGCAGGGAAACUCCCGUUGGAAAGUCCCUGAUCCAAAUUCACUUGAAGUGAAUUAAAAUGUCAGCAUGGGGUGUUGUGUAGCAAGAUGGAGCCUAUAACAAAUUUUGUGUGUAUGGAGUAAAAUAUUUUAGGCGAGGUCUAAGAUACCUUCUGCUGUUUUAUUGAAACUUCAAGUUUGAUGGAAAAGGCAGAAAAUCAAAUCAGCAAACCAGUCAAUCUCAGCACAAAAAGUUAAAAGUCUCUGUUGAAUCACUCCCAGCUGUCUCAGACAAAAAUAAACUCAAACAAACACAUAAACCUGCUCAACACAAUCUCCCUUCAAAUUGAAAUGUUGCAGAAAAAUGUCCAAACAUUAUCAAGCCGCUGUUUAUCACCAGUCAAAAUAAUUCCCUCACAUCCUCCACAUCUGUCUCCGCCCGUGUCUGCAGCGUCGGGCAGUGCUGUUGAAAGGAUGUGCAGAUUAAAGGGCCCAUCAGAGCCUCGGUGACUCUUGAUUCUAUAUCACAGGGUGGUGUGGUGGAGCUGCAGAGCUGCAGUGUGUGUGUAAUCCUGGUCGAGGAUGUAAACAGUUCGGAGCAUAGCAGCGCCCGCAGCACAGCCAGGACAAAAGAGCUCAUUAUGUGUGUGGAUGAGUCUCACUCAUGGUCAUUAUUCGUGAAAUAAGGCUGCAGAAUCAGAGCAUUUUAUGUAACCUCAUACUCUCUUUUAUUAUCUCCCGGACUCUGGUAAUGAUCAUGUUACACAGCUCUGCUGCAUGUCACUGAUUCAGCUGAUUAACAUUAAUGGGCUGCUGCAGUUAUAAAAUCUGUAUGCUGAGAAUAAACCACACUACAGUCUAAUAUCUGCUCUAUGGGCACCUAAUGAGCUGAUUCUCAUUUUUUACAUUAGUCUGAGAUGGACGCCUCGCCAACUUUGUUCAGUGGGAAUAAUAGCAAACAUCAUCUGCUGCAUUCAAAUUUUUCCCUCUGGAAACCACAAAUUAUGAUGAUGUGGAAAAUGGCCUGGUGUAAAAUUCAGUUAGGGGUCCCUGAUAUGCCAAAACAAUGAUGAUCUAAGUGAAAAUAUUUCUCUGACAGAGGAAACAGAAAAGAAAACAUUCAUUUAUUUUCUAACUUGCAGACGCAUUAAAGAGUCCAUGCACGCUGACCUGGCAGACGCUGAUGCGUAAAUGCAACUUUUAAACCCAAUUUCAUUACAAGUGACGGAAACUAUGCAGAGGCUGCGGUGGUGUUGUGGUACUCCGAGCGCUCACUCUUUGUUUGGUAUUUGUCAUCCCUUGUGUUGCGUGAGUGGG